rnacentral:rRNA from 1 species
GAGCUAACGCGUUAAAUCGACCGCCUGGGGAGUACGGCCGCAAGGUUAAAACUCAAAUGAAUUGACGGGGGCCCGCACAAGCGGUGGAGCAUGUGGUUUAAUUCGAUGCAACGCGAAGAACCUUACCUACUCUUGACAUCCAGAGAACUUUCCAGAGAUGGAUUGGUGCCUUCGGGAACUCUGAGACAGGUGCUGCAUGGCUGUCGUCAGCUCGUGUUGUGAAAUGUUGGGUUAAGUCCCGCAACGAGCGCAACCCUUAUCCUUUGUUGCCAGCGGUUCGGCCGGGAACUCAAAGGAGACUGCCAGUGAUAAACUGGAGGAAGGUGGGGAUGACGUCAAGUCAUCAUGGCCCUUACGAGUAGGGCUACACACGUGCUACAAUGGCAUAUACAAAGAGAAGCGACCUCGCGAGAGCAAGCGGACCUCAUAAAGUAUGUCGUAGUCCGGAUUGGAGUCUGCAACUCGACUCCAUGAAGUCGGAAUCGCUAGUAAUCGUAGAUCAGAAUGCUACGGUGAAUACGUUCCCGGGCCUUGUACACACCGCCCGUCACACCAUGGGAGUGGGUUGCAAAAGAAGUAGGUAGCUUAACCUUCGGGAGGGCGCUUACCACUUUGUGAUUCAUGACUGGGGUGAAGUC